UGAGGAAUAUUGGUCAAUGGGCGCUAGCCUGAACCAGCCAUGCCGCGUGCAGGAAGACAGCCCUACGGGUUGUAAACUGCUUUUCUGUCGGAAGAAAGUGGCGCAUUCGCUGCGCUAUUGACGGUACGACAGGAAUAAGCAUCGGCUAACUCCGUGCCAGCAGCCGCGGUAAUACGGAGGAUGCAAGCGUUAUCCGGAUUCAUUGGGUUUAAAGGGUGCGCAGGCGGUGAUGUAAGUCAGUGGUGAAAGCCCGGGGCUCAACUCCGGGAUUGCCAUUGAAACUGCAUCACUUGAGUGUAGUCGAGGACGGCGGAAUGAGUUAUGUAGCGGUGAAAUGCAUAGAUAUAACUCAGAACACCGAUUGCGGAGGCAGCUGUCUAGGCUACAACUGACGCUGAGGCACGAAAGCGUGGGGAGCGAACA
rnacentral:rRNA from 1 species